CAUAUAGGAGAAUUUGAACAUAGGAAAAGACUAUAUAUAUGAGCUCCAAUUGUUAGGGUCACACAAUUAACCGCUACUAUUGAAUGCUUACAAUAUCGAAGAACAUUUAACUUUUCCUCCUACUGUCCACUUUCUCAUAUCAAUACGAUAACAACCACAACAUUAAUUUCAGUAUCCUAUGUAAUUCACGAAGACACAAGUAUAAUCCAAACCCUGGAACGAAUAACUUUUCAUCCAUAGAAUCUGAUCGAGAUAAUUCCUUUGAUUACAAUUUCUCUCCACUGAACUCACAACCUUGCGAUAAACAGUGACUCGAAACUUCUAUACAUCAUCAAUCUUUCACAACAAUUGAUAAACAGUGAUCCAUAAAUAACUUCGUAAAUCAAACAUUGAUUCAUUAAAUUGAUUCUCUUCACUAGAAUCAAUACUAAC
rnacentral:lncRNA from 1 species